rnacentral:rRNA from 1 species
AGAGUUCGAUCCUGGCUCAGGAUGAACGCUGGCGGCGUGCCUAACACAUGCAAGUCGAACGAGAUGCGUAUUGGAAAGCUUCGGCCGGAAGAUGCGUUAUCUAGUGGCGGACGGGUGAGUAACACGUGGGUAACCUGCCUUAUGGAGGGGGAUAACAGAGAGAAAUCACUGCUAAUACCGCAUAAGCACACAUUGCCGCAUGGCAGAGUGUGAAAAGAUUUAUCGCCAUAAGAUGGACCCGCGUCUGAUUAGCCAGUUGGCAGGGUAAAAGCCUACCAAAGCAACGAUCAGUAGCCGAUCUGAGAGGAUGACCGGCCACAUUGGGACUGAGACACGGCCCAAACUCCUACGGGAGGCAGCAGUGGGGAAUAUUGCACAAUGGGGGAAACCCUGAUGCAGCGACGCCGCGUGAGUGAAGAAGUAUUUCGGUAUGUAAAGCUCUAUCAGCAGGGAAGAAAAUGACGGUACCUGACUAAGAAGCCCCGGCUAACUACGUGCCAGCAGCCGCGGUAAUACGUAGGGGGCAAGCGUUAUCCGGAUUUACUGGGUGUAAAGGGAGCGUAGACGGAAUGGCAAGUCUGAAGUGAAAACCCCGGGCUCAACCUGGGGACUGCUUUGGAAACUGUUGUUCUAGAGUGUUGGAGAGGUAAGUGGAAUUCCUGGUGUAGCGGUGAAAUGCGUAGAUAUCAGGAAGAACACCGGAGGCGAAGGCGGCUUACUGGACAAUAACUGACGUUGAGGCUCGAAAGCGUGGGGAUCAAACAGGAUUAGAUACCCUGGUAGUCCACGCUGUAAACGAUGAAUACUAGGUGUCGGGGAGCAAAGCUUCUCGGUGCCGUCGCUAACGCAAUAAGUAUUCCACCUGGGGAGUACGUUCGCAAGAAUGAAACUCAAAGGAAUUGACGGGGACCCGCACAAGCGGUGGAGCAUGUGGUUUAAUUCGAAGCAACGCGAAGAACCUUA